rnacentral:rRNA from 1 species
UAACGAAGGGGGCUAGCGUUGCUCGGAAUCACUGGGCGUAAAGGGCGUGUAGGCGGGAAGGAAAGUCGGGCGUGAAAUCCCUGGGCUCAACCCAGGAACUGCACUCGAAACUUCUUUCUUGAGUGCCGGAGAGGAAAGCGGAAUUCCUGGUGUAGAGGUGAAAUUCGUAGAUAUCAAGGAGGAACACCGUGGCGAAGGCGGCUUUCUGGACGGUAACUGACGCUGAGACGCGAAAGCGUGGGGAGCAAAC